rnacentral:sRNA from 10 species
AUAUGUGAAGGUGAUAUGGCUAUGACUUCCAUCACCUUGUUGAACCUUAUGUUUGGUCUGAAAGUCUGAUUGGCUAAAGUGAAGGUUUCAUCUUUCCUCAGUCUCCUGUAAACAAUCCUCCCCAAAGGUAGGGUCUUGGGUGGGAGAGGAUGAUAAUUCCAGCAUGCAGAAAGUCACUGCCUGGUAGGAAUAUACAGAAGGUUGUGAUCCUCUGAAAAGCCACCAAAGAAAACAGACAUAGGAAAGAAUGUGAAGGAAAAUAAACGGUUGAUUCUGAGAUUUCCU